UGAACUUGGCGGCAUGCCUUAACAUGCUCUUCCGUAACGGCAGAACGGGUGCUUGCACCUUCCUGGCGAGUGGCGAACGGGUGAGUAAUACAUCGGAACAUGUCCUGUAGUGGGGGAUAGCCCGGCGAAAGCCGGAUUAAUACCGCAUACGAUCCAUGGAUGAAAGCGGGGGACCUUCGGGCCUCGCGCUAUAGGGUUGGCCGAUGGCUGAUUAGCUAGUUGGUGGGGUAAAGGCCUACCAAGGCGACGAUCAGUAGCUGGUCUGAGAGGACGACCAGCCACACUGGGACUGAGACACGGCCCAGACUCCUACGGGAGGCAGCAGUGGGGAAUUUUGGACAAUGGGCGAAAGCCUGAUCCAGCAAUGCCGCGUGUGUGAAGAAGGCCUUCGGGUUGUAAAGCACUUUUGUCCGGAAAGAAAUCCUUGGCUCUAAUACAGCCGGGGGAUGACGGUACCGGAAGAAUAAGCACCGGCUAACUACGUGCCAGCAGCCGCGGUAAUACGUAGGGUGCAAGCGUUAAUCGGAAUUACUGGGCGUAAAGCGUGCGCAGGCGGUUUGCUAAAACCGAUGUGAAAUCCCCGGGCUCAACCUGGGAACUGCAUUGGUGACUGGCAGGCUAUAGUAUGGCAAAGGGGGGUAGAAUUCCCCGUGUAACAUUGAAAUGCGUAAAGAUGUGGAGGAAUACCGAUGGCUAAAGCAGCCCCCUGGCCCAAUA
rnacentral:rRNA from 1 species